AGAUAGAAGGAAGAACCAUGGUCGGUGGUCAAUUCUACACUCUUCUCCAUGCCACUUCAAGAUCCUCACUGGUAAAGUCUAGCAGUAGUAGGCCAUUCUUCAACAACACCAUUAAGUUAUGGGCAAGCGAGUAGCCAUUUGAUGGAAGAGAGGGCACUUUCCAUGGCUAAAGAGUUGUAGAGGAAAAGGCCAAGGAAACCAAGGAAGACAAGUCAUAUGAUGGUGCAUAAGAGGCUACUAAGGUUCAAUCUGUCAAGGAGUGAGCAACUUCACUUAAUGCCAAUUGGUUUUAAGAUGAAAUCUAACAUGAUAUCAUAGUUGCACUCCAAGGAGUGAGACAGCUGAUGUGAGACUUGGGUAUUUUCCAACACACCCUCUCACGCACAACACUUCUUGGACUUGGUGCGUGAACAACAAAGGGUGGUCGCAGCGGAAGCUAAGGUGAGGUCCCAGGAACAGAGUUUGGCUCCGAUACCAUGUUAGAAUUAAUAAUGUGAGAGACCUAACUCAACACCAAAAGCAAGCUCAAGGGGUGAGGGUUGUCCCUCACUUAUAUAUUCUAAUGUGGGAUUACUUUUAGCCGAUGUGAGACUUGGAUUAUUUUCAAAGAAAUACCACCCAAGUCCCACAUGACUGUCUCACUCCUUGGAAUGUAGCUUAUAUACCUGUUGGGUAACUUCACUUAAUGCCAAUUGAUUUUAAGACGAAAUUUAACAUGGUAUCAUAGCCAGACUCUGUUUCUGGGAUCACACUUCCGCUAGCCUUUGCUUUGUGGUGACAAACACCAACCAUUUGUUGUUCACGCCCGAGCCCAAGAAGUGCUUGGCGUGAGAGGGUGUGUUGGAAAUAAUCCAAGUUCCACAUAGGCUAAAAGUAAUUUCACAUUAAAAUAUAUAAGUGAAAGGCAACUCUCACCCCUUGAGCUAGCUUUUGUUGUUCACUCCUUAAAAUACAGUUUAUAUAUCUAUUGGACAACUUCACGUCUUUGUUUUAGCAGGUUGAUUGGUUGAUUGAGUAUGUUGAAAUUUUGAAAUCCAAUGUAGUUAAUUGGUUUGUUGGUUGUUUCUACU